GAUGAACGCUGGCGGCAUGCCUUACACAUGCAAGUCGAACGGCAGCACGGGAGCAAUCCUGGUGGCGAGUGGCGAACGGGUGAGUAAUAUAUCGGAACGUGCCCAGUCGUGGGGAUAACGUAGCGAAAGCUACGCUAAUACCGCAUACGAUCUAUGGAUGAAAGCGGGGGAUCGCAAGACCUCGCGCGAUUGGAGCGGCCGAUAUCAGAUUAGGUAGUUGGUGAGGUAAAGGCUCACCAAGCCGACGAUCUGUAGCUGGUCUGAGA
rnacentral:rRNA from 1 species